UAUUAACGCUGUUGCUGUUAAAGGGUUCGUAGUUGAACUGUGGAAUGUGAAGCCGAGGCCUACCCUUUUCCCACGGUCUAGGGAAACUUCGAUCAUAUUCCGAGAACGUCAGAAACUAAGAUCACGGGAGCGUUUUUUUAACAAAUGGCCGCCGAUUACGCGAGCAAUGUUCGUUGGCGGACGUCCGUGUUCAUUACUGUGACUAAAGAAGUGCGACCAAAGCAGUCCAUCGACAUGAAUUAGAAAGCAUGGGAUAACAAAGGAGCAGCCUAUGAGCUACCGUUUAGGCUUUUGUUGGUUUUAAAGGUUCGUGGGAGAUUACGGGCUGGUAAGACCGGCGUUGUGGAGCUCUCGGGUUCCCUCGUCUCCCCCUUGUGCCGGAAACGGUGCCUGGGGGCUUGCCAGAUCCAGGAAUGAAGGAGGGUUGCGUCGGGGGGAAACGUACGUGGGCGUGAGAGGUGAAAUUCUUAGACC
rnacentral:rRNA from 1 species